rnacentral:rRNA from 1 species
GAUGAACGCUGGCGGCGUGCCUAAUACAUGCAAGUCGAGCGAACAGAUGAGGAGCUUGCUCCUCUGACGUUAGCGGCGGACGGGUGAGUAACACGUGGAUAACCUACCUAUAAGACUGGGAUAACUUCGGGAAACCGGAGCUAAUACCGGAUAAUAUAUUGAACCGCAUGGUUCAAUAGUGAAAGACGGUUUUGCUGUCACUUAUAGAUGGAUCCGCGCCGCAUUAGCUAGUUGGUAAGGUAACGGCUUACCAAGGCAACGAUGCGUAGCCGACCUGAGAGGGGGGCGGGCCAACCGGGAACUGAGACCCGGUCCAGACUCCACGGGGAGGCAGCAGAAGGGAAUCUUCGGAAAUGGGCGAAAGCCUAACGGAGCAACGCCGCGUGAGUGAUGAAGGUCUUCGGAUCUUAAAACUCUGUUAUUAGGGAAAAACAAAUGUGUAAGUAAAUGUGCACGUCGUGACGGUACCUAAUCAGAAAGCCACGGCUAACUACGUG